rnacentral:rRNA from 1 species
GGGGAAUAUUGGACAAUGGGGGCAACCCUGAUCCAGCAAUGCCGCGUGUGUGAAGAAGGUCUUCGGAUCGUAAAGCACUUUCGGCGGGGACGAUGAUGACGGUACCCGCAGAAAAAGCCCCGGCUAACUUCGUGCCAGCAGCCGCGGUAAUACGAAGGGGGCUAGCGUUGCUCGGAAUUACUGGGCGUAAAGGGCGCGUAGGCGGCUUGGCCAGUCAGGCGUGAAAUUCCUGGGCUUAACCUGGGGACUGCGCUUGAUACUGCCAGGCUUGAGGCCGAGAGAGGGUGGUGGAAUUCCCAGUGUAGAGGUGAAAUUCGUAGAUAUUGGGAAGAACACCGGUGGCGAAGGCGACCACCUGGCUCGGUACUGACGCUGAGGCGCGACAGCGUGGGGAGCAAAC